AAUGUACUCCCUUCGUUCGAAAAUUCUUGUCUUAGAUUUGUCUAGGUAUAGACUUAUCUAGUCAUGUUUUAGUGUUAGAUACAUCCGUAUCUAUCUAUGCCUAGACGAAUCUAAGACAAAAAUUUUGGGACGGAGGUAAUAGUAC
rfam:Triticum aestivum genome assembly, contig: Triticum_aestivum_CS42_TGACv1_scaffold_003468_1AL